ACAUUAUCACAAAAAAGUUUAUAUUUUGUAUUGUGUGUAAGAAGGUUUUUCAUUGUUCAGCAAUAGCAAAAUACGAAACAAAAUUUCAAAAAUACGCAUGUCUUAGUAAACCAACGUGAGUUUCACUUCAGAAAGAGUGUGAAGACACUUCCUACUGCGGCUGGAACGUAAAAUGUGAAUUAAAUAAAAGAACCAUAACUAUCAGCAAUGGUUGCUGGGAGAAAGUGUUGUAGCCGUCAUAACGCGUGAUGUACAAAAUUCAUAUCGAUCGACAUUAUUAACACUGUCAGAACUGUACUGUGACUGUAACUGUAUCUAUGUUCUUCAACAAUAGGGGAUUUAUUCUUUGUCUUCCAACGAUGCGUCCAACAAGCGAUAGCUUUAGAAAGAGAUGAUUGAUAUUUUAUAAUAUGCAUCCUAACUGAAAUUGGCAGUCCCUUAAAAGAACGAUUACGUCAUUUUCUUAUAGGUAUGUACAUAUGUAACUACCGUAUAAACUGCUAACACAAUAACACCAGCAAUCAAGCAGUUUUGUCUCGAUACAAUAAAUGAAAUAAUAUGAAAAUACUGUCAUUAAGUUUCUCUACACUUUACUGAAUCAAUUUAUUACCACUUAAUACUUUGGAUCUAUAAAG